rnacentral:antisense_RNA from 1 species
GCUGCCACCCAGCGCCCGUCCCCGCGCCGCACUCCCCAGCGCUCCCCGCGCCGCGCGCCCCGCACCGGCUGGAGGCCCCGGCCCCCCGCCGCUCCCUCUCCGCGCACCUCCCGGCCCGCGCUAGCAGGGGUUAGUUAUAGCAGGCAAGAGUGUGGUUAUCGUUGGACCAGGAUUCAGGAUCUGACCGAGUAGCUGACUCUUAAUCCAGUUUGUGUUGAUCACCAGGAGGAUCUGGACCUCAGUGUUAUCAUAUCUAGAGCUAUAAUCACAUCCCUGUUAAGCCUUCCUGAGAUCACAUCAAAUGUCCUUGAUGGGAAUUGUAAACAAACCUUAAUUCUGGUAUCUAAUGAUAUUCCAGGAAAGGAGUCAAACUAGAGUCAGUGAUAUGCCAACUCCACCUUUGCCUUCCACCAUGUUUGGAAGCUCCCUGAGGCCUCACCAGGAGCAGAUGCUCAUCCCAUGCUUCCUAUAAGCCUGCAGAACUGUGAGCCAUAAUAAACUGUGAAUUAUAAAUUGCCUUUAUAGCAAUGCAAAUGGACCAGUACAGACGGGAUGCUGGGAAGACAGUUGUUCCACCUUCAGUAAA